rnacentral:misc_RNA from 1 species
AAGUCGUAACAAGGUUUCCGUAGGUGAACCUGCGGAAGGAUCAUUAGUGAAUAUUAGCGUGUCGACCUUUCGAGGAAGAGCGUGACCUCCACUUUUCAAACUCUUGUGCAUUUUUUGGCAGUUUAUUUUAGUAUUGUUAAGAGUUUUAUUACUCGAGAAUCUAAUAAUAGACUGUGGCUCAUUUUAAAACACUAUAGUCAAAGUAUGUCAAUGAAAAUUUAAAACAAAAAAAAACUUUCAACAACGGAUCUCUUGGCUCUC